CCGACCGCAGGGCUAUAAUCUAUGAGACUGAGCGCAGAUCCAGCCAAUCAGUCAGCUUCUCAUAACUAGUCGAACUGGCUCUGGAAAGCUAAAGGGUUCUCUCAGUUGCACUGGAGCAAGGCAGAUGAGAUAUUCCACAAAUAAUCUGCUUAUCUACGCUCACUUUGCCUCGUAAGGCCAGAGAAAAAUCACAGUUUCAUUGUCUGAAAGAAGAAAGACAGAUGAUCUGGCAAAAAAAAAAAAAAAAGACUUA
rnacentral:lncRNA from 1 species